rnacentral:lncRNA from 1 species
UAGCUUCUGGUGCUGGCUUGCUUUAUGUAUCAGCAGGACUAUCUGUUUGGUCUUUAGUAGUUUAUAUGAGGAAGAUAUGGAAAGUACUACUCAAGUAAUCGUUGGUUUUGUCUUUGCCUUGACCUGCAUUUGGAUUAUACGCAUUGAUGGAUGGAGAGGGCAACACUUGAGCAGUGACCUCAGAGGGAAAUGAUUGAUUGAUCAUUAGGUAGAAGAAAGUGUUGGUUGUUUGACAAUAUGUAGAUGGUUUUGCUUUGCUCUGCUGUUUUACAACACAUAUGGUAUAUAGUCUUGGUUCAAAAGCCUAAUCAUGGUGUAUUGUAGAUUGGUUUGGUACUGGUUUCAAUAAGCUUUUACAUUAAUGCAUCUAUGUUCAUUCACAAAGAGUGAAUCUUAUUAACUAUCAAAAAGUUUGAGAAAGCAUAUAUAUCAAAAUCUAUAAGGCCUAGAGAAAGAAAGAACAUAAGCCUAUACAUGUAUUAUCUUGUCUUAUUGGACUAAGAACUCGUUAUAUGAAAAGUCAGGACUGGAGAGGAGAUCGAAAUGCUUGCUUCCAAGCGAGUCUUUCAGUAUCGUGAUCUGACCUUCCUUGAGGAGUGUGUCUUCUUCCAAUCUCUCCACCUCCUUCUUCAACAUCUCCUUUUCUGACUCCAAAUCCAUGUUUCUCUUUCUGCAGUCUCUCACUUCCUUACACAUCUCUUCUCUUUCCUCCAACACUUUUGGUAAUGUAACUUUCAUGCUAGACAAUUGUUUAGCAACUUCUUGGAGAUUGGUUUCAAGCCGCUUCACGUUCUCUUCUUUCUUCACCAUCUGAUGUCAACACUCAAGGAGCUUAAUUAACCACUUAUGAUGAGAGUCAUAAAGAAAAAAAGUAAAAUCUGAAGCACCUGAAUCUUGAGGUCUUUUAAUUGGUGUGUGUUUAUUGAUAGGCUGUCUAAGACAUUCUGGAUUUCACGUUGGAGAACUUCGUUACCUCGUACACCUGCUGCUACUUCUGCUUGCAGCUGUUCGAUCUCUUGUUCCUUGGAAUACAGUUUCUCUCUUAACAAACUAGUCACUAGAGUCUCCGCUUUCAGUUCAGCUCUCAGGAGUUUCUAAAAUCUCAGACAAAAGGUGAAACACUUAGCACAUACAAACAUGUAACAAACCUAUGUGGAAAUGAAACUCACCUCUACUGAUUGGUUGUUUGGCUCAGUAGACCUCGAUGAUUCUGAGUUUGAUGCAAUCUCAUUGGCUUUCUCGAGCAACAAACUGUUGACUGUCUGCAAACUCCUCUUGAGGCUUUCAGUUCCACGCCGUAUUCCAUGGACAUUCAUCUCAGAUUCAAUCAGAAACUGCUCACUCAAUCCAUUAUGCAUGUCUUCAGAUAAUCUCUCUCUGAUGAACUUGAGCAGCUUGUAACACAGCUGGGUGGUCUCACUUAACAUCAUAACCCCUUGGUCUUGCAAGAGUCCUACACGCAUCUUCAUCUCAUUGUCUAGCUUGAAAGUUGUCAUAGUGUCAUAGCUCCGCAAACAAACAUUCUCAGCACGUAGCGAAUCAGCUUCGAUCUUCGUUGAUUCCACCUCCUUUCUGAGUGAGAACUCAACUCUUGUCAACCUCAUCUGCUCCAUCUGCAAUCUCUUCACCAUCUCUGACGGUUGCUUCUUAGUUUCCUCGGAGAGACUAUCUCUAAGUCCUUCAAUAGUCUUCUCUUGUUCCCCACAGGCUCUUACCAACCUCGAAACAGAUUUGUGUAAAUCCUUGCAUUCCAUCUCCUUCUCUUCAAAGAAUUUCUCAAACAGACAGAACCAAAUCAAAAACCAUUAGGCCAUGCUCAGAUCCAGCCUCGCUUCGUUAAUCGUCGAUGUCACUUCACGGCGCACGUUACCUCCCCUCGCAUCCUUCUCUCACCCUGCGCAUAUUAGCCGUUCCUCACGCCGUGUUCUUCCUUCCCUGUACUCCUCCCACACACCUCUAAGGUUUCGGAUUCAGACAUGUAACCACCGCCACCUCUCCUCGUAUUCGUCUCCCUCUGAGAAACACGGACCAUCUUCGUCUACCCGAUCAAGCUUCGCGGGUCGAGAUGACGCAUUCACGGCGGCUCAGAACAGUUCCAACGGUCAUAACUCUUCUCCGCCGCAACCCUCUUCCAAAGUUCUUACAAUACCAACCAUAUUAACCAUUGCUCGUGUAGCUGCCGUACCACUUCUCGUCGCAAGUACGUUCAUUUGUUGCAGCAAACACUGUGUCUUCAUGUAAAGUUGAUUUCUUUUGUCUUUACUUUGUAGCCUUUUACGCUGAUAGUUCGUGGGGAACGACCGCGACUACAAGCAUCUUCAUUGCAGCAGCCAUUACAGACUGGCUUGACGGCUAUCUUGCACGAAAGGUACUUCCUUUAUAUCACAACUCUUGUGUAUUAUCUCAUUGCAAUGUUAACGGUCAGAUCAUGUGCGUUUUUCAGAUGAAGUUAGGUUCUGCGUUUGGUGCCUUUCUGGAUCCAGUUGCUGAUAAGGUGUGGAUUGUUUUAGACUUUUGUCUUUAGUGGGAAGUGAGAUCAUAUAUGUUUCUGAUUUGUAUUUUGGGUCUUCAGCUUAUGGUUGCAGCUACUUUGAUCUUACUAUGUACAAAACCUAUGGAUGUUGGUGUAUUAGGACCUCUUCCAUGGUUAUUGACGGUGCCAUCUAUUGCAAUCAUUGGUAGAGAGGUGAGAUAUGUAGAAAGCUCAGUAUCCUUCACUUGAAGAGUAUGUAGCGUGUCCUUAACUAAAUGAGACGUUUAUCUUCAUGUAGAUUACAAUGUCUGCAGUAAGAGAAUGGGCUGCAUCUCAAAAUGGAAAGCUUUUAGAGGUAAAGUUAGAUCAUCAACAUCUAGCUUUUUUUGUUAAUGUUCUUACUAAAUGGCAUUGAUUGAUUGCUCACCAGGCUGUUGCUGUAAAUAACUUGGGCAAGUGGAAAACCGCUACGCAGAUGACAGCACUAACCAUACUUCUCGCAAGCCGGGAUAGCAAUGUUGGAUGGCUUGUAGCUUCUGGUGCUGGCUUGCUUUAUGUAUCAGCAGGACUAUCUGUUUGGUCUUUAGUAGUUUAUAUGAGGAAGAUAUGGAAAGUACUACUCAAGUAAUCGUUGGUUUUGACUUUGCCUUGACCUGCAUUUGGAUUAUACGCAUUGAUGGAUGGAGAGGGCAACACUUGAGCAGUGACCUCAGAGGGAAAUGAUUGAUUGAUCAUUAGGUAGAAGAAAGUGUUGGUUGUUUGACAAUAUGUAGAUGGUUUUGCUUUGCUCUGCUGUUUUACAACACAUAUGGUAUAUAGUCUUGGUUCAAAAGCC